GGUUCAGUCCACAUUAGAAACUUCAGCUUGAUUGUUGAGUUGGACUGGCCAGUACCAAGGAUCUGAGAACCCCAUUCAAAAGAUUCAGUUCUAUAUUCUGCUCUCCCUCCUUCGUUGCUAUCAAAGAGAUUGUCAGCUGUCCUUUUCUCUCUCGCUCUCAUGUCGAUUAUAGGAAUUUAUGGUUCAAAAUGAUUCUCCUUGUGGCACAACCAUUGGACCCAUCCUGGCUUCCCGCCUUGGUUUGCGUGUUCUUGAUAUGGGUUGCCCACAAUUAGCUAUGCACUCCAUUCAUGAGAUGUGCUGCACCUCAGGGGUUCUUCAGACCAUCACUCUCUUCAAGGGCUUCUUCAAUCUGUUUCCCACCUUGGAUCAGGCACUUCUGAGCAGCUGAUGGGCAGCCUGAAUGCUGAAAGAGGCUCUCCCUUUUCCUUAGGCUGGAUAAUAAUUAAAGCAGCUUUAAUCCAGUGACCUCUGUGCAGUUCAGAGGCUUGCUGAGUUUUGA